rnacentral:lncRNA from 10 species
CCUCAAGUGAUCCAACCACCUCGGCCUCCCAAAGUGCUGGGAUUAUAGGCAUGAGCCACCGCGCCCGGCCAGAAGACAAGACUUAAGGCCUGCAGCUCACUGAGGACUUCAACAUUCAUCAUCACGUAAAGCAGCUGUUAUGUUGCAAUGUCUUUAUCGGCAGUCUUCGGUCAGUUUCACUCUUUCCUAUAUCCUAUAUAUUCCUCUUUCUUGAAUUGUUCUCUUAUUUUGCUGGAGUUCAUCCAACAAAUCGAAUCAAAUCAAAUAUUGUUUGUUUGCUGUUUGUCUACCAGUAUCUCUGUUUUGUUUGUGUUGAGAAUCUUGUCAAUGUUUAUAGCCCAGGCGACUGCUGAUGCCAACAGAAGCCAGUCUUUGCAGCCCAGCUUUGCUCAUAUGUUGCCCUCAUUGGGCCUCAGUGAUCCACCCACCUCAGCCUCCCAAAGUGUUGGGAUUACAGGCAUGAGCCACUGCGCCUGGCCAGCAAUCUAUGAUUUUGAAAUGAAUUUGAGAAUUAAUGAAGCAGGAGCAGUACACUUCCUACACCAACAAAGGCAAGCUGCCUGCAGUUAGGUAAGGCAAGGUUGGCAGGAGCAGUGGGACGGACAGAUACUCUGAUUUUAUGUAUAAUCUUUUUUUUUCUUUUUUUUUUUUUUGAGACUGGGUGCAGUGGUGCGAUCUUGGCUCACUGCAACCUCUGCCUUCCAGGUUCAAGUGAUUCUUCUGCCUCAGCCUCCCAAGUAGCUGGGAUUAUAGGCGCCCACCAUCACUCCUGGCUAAUUUUUGUAUUUCUAGUAGAGAUGGGGUUUCACCAUGUUGGCCAGGCUGGUCUUGAACUCCUGACCUCAGGUGAUCCACCCACCCUGGCCUCCCAAACUGCUGGGAUUACAGCCAUUAGCCACUGUGCCAGACCUGUAUAAUCAUUUUGAAUGUAAAGAGUUGAUUGUUGCUAACCACAAUCAUUUGUCCAUGAUGUGCUUCAUUGUUUCUUUUUCCUUUGACUAUCUUUUAUAGGAUAGUUUUAUAGGAUAUUUUCAGGCAAUAUAUUCAAAUUAUUUACCAAUUGCUGUGGCAUGAGCAUUGACCAAUUUCAACAAAUAUAUAUCGAGUGCCUACCAUGUGCCAGCGGAUACAUUAGUGAACAAAACAACAAUUCCCUUCCUAGUAGAGCUUAUGUUCUAGUGAUGCAGGCACUCAGAAUAAACAGUACACAUAACAAGUGAUACAUUAUGUUGGUUUUUUUUUGAGACGGAGGCUCCCUCUAUCACCCAGGCUGGAUUACAGUGGUGUGAUCCUGGCUCACUGCAACCCCCGCCUCCCAGGUUCAAGUGAUUCUUGUGCCUCAGCCACCUGAGUAGCUGGGAUUACAGGUGUGCAUCACCACCCAGCUAAUUUCCAUAUUUUUAGUAGAGCACAGGGGUUUCCCCAUGUUGGCCACACUGUCUGGAACUCCUGGCCUCAGGUAAUCUGCCCACCUCGGCUUCCCAAAGUGCUGGGAUUACAGGCGUGAGCCACUUUGCCCCGCCAUUAUACAUUGUGUUAAAAAGUGAUAAGCACUAAGGGGGACAUAAAAGGAAAAGUAGAAGGGAAGGGAAGGAGAAUUGGGAAUCCAGGAAGUAGGAGUGUGGAGAGGAAGGGGUCUUGUGGGCCCCUGUAAGGUUACAACUCUUACUGUGAGUGAGAUCCCACCCCAUGAAAGGUUUUAAGCACAAGGCCAGUGUCUGACGUUCUUUUCUUUCUUUCUUUCUUUCUUUUUUUUUUUUUUGAGAUGGAGUUUUGCUCUUAUUGCCCAGGCUGGAGUGCAGUGGUGCAAUCUCGGCUCACCACAACCUCCACCUCCUGGG